rnacentral:rRNA from 1 species
UUGUUCGGAUUCACUGGGCGUAAAGGGUGCGUAGGCGGUCGGGUAAGUCUGGCGUGAAAUCUCCAAGCCUAACUUGGAAACUGCGUUGGAUACUAUCCGGCUCGAGGAAUGGAGGGGAGACUGGAAUACUUGGUGUAGCAGUGAAAUGCGUAGAUAUCAAGUGGAACACCAGUGGCGAAGGCGAGUCUCUGGACAUUUCCUGACGCUGAGGCACGAAAGCCAGGGGAGCAAACGGG